UACGUAGGGUGCGAGCGUUGUCCGGAAUUAUUGGGCGUAAAGGGCUCGUAGGCGGUUUGUCGCGUCGGGAGUGAAAUCCACUGGCUUAACUGGUGGCUUGCUUUCGAUACGGGCAGACUGGAGGUAUGCAGGGGAGAACGGAAUUCCUGGUGUAGCGGUGAAAUGCGCAGAUAUCAGGAGGAACACCAAUAGCGAAGGCAGCUCGCUGGGACGUUACUGACACUGAGGCGCGAAAGCGUGGGGAGCGAACAGG
rnacentral:rRNA from 1 species